rnacentral:lncRNA from 1 species
AUACUUGGUGUUCAGCAAAGCAAGAGUCGCUACAGAACCCAUUUUGUUUAAAGGACACGGACCAUGUUCUCAAAUAUAAUGUGUCAGAAAAUGCUGCUAGCGUUCACAUCGUUCUUAGUAAUUACCUGGAUGAUAUUUGUCAUUUCUCAAAAUUCUGCAAAGCUUUGGACCACUCUAAACACAGCCAUAUGUUUCCAUCCCUGGAACACAUCCAUGAAGUCCUCCUGUCCUGAAAUUCCAAUGAGCCAGUCAAAGUUACUACCAGUGAUUAAGCUAGAAGAGGAGAUCCCUAAAAUGACAGGCCACCAACAAGACAAGUCACCAACAGAGACAGAGCUGAAAGUCAGGGAGAUCCUGGAGAAGCUGGAUCGGCAGAUACCUCCCAGACCCUUCACCCACCUCAACUACACCACAAGCGCCACACACAGCACGGCCACCAUCCUCAACCCUCAAGAUACAUACUGUGUGGGGGACCUGCUGGACAUCCUAGUAGAGGCUAGAGACCACCUAGGAAACAGGAAGGGGUAUGGUGGGGACUUCCUGAGGGCCAGGAUGUUCUCCCCAGCCCUGAAGGCAGGAGCUUCUGGAAAGGUGACAGACUUCAACAAUGGCACCUACCUCGUCAGCUUCAUUCUGUUCUGGGAGGGCCCGGUCUCACUGUCUAUUCUGCUCGUGCACCCCAGUGAAGGGGUGUCAGCUCUCUGGAGAGCAAGGAACGAAGGCUACGGCAGAAUUGCUUUCAAAGGUGCUUUUGUUAAUGGCACGUCCCAGGUCACAGCUGAAUGUGGCCUGAUACUAGAGUCAAGCAGUGAGCUAUGCAAAUACCUGUACCGUGGUGGUGAGGAAGUCUUCUACUGCAUGAAACCUCAACACAUUCCCUGUGAGGCCCUGACCCAUGUGUGUACCAGGCAGCAAGGUGUUUCUUAUCUCACUGCCAAAGAAAAAGACCUUUUUCAGAACCUGAGCAAUCCUGCUAAGAAGUCAGCUCCCACCAGGCAUCAGCUCAUCUCCUGAGCAGGUUUGGCACAUGGGCCCUUCUUUGGGUAGAAGACUCCUCCAUUCUCCUCAAGUUGUGGCCUAGCAGUUCCUGGAAGCCCUCAGCUGCACAGGCUCCCCAAACCUAGUUGCCAGCAUGCCUCCUCCUGUCAAUCAAGGCCCUAAGACACCUAUCAGGUCCAACAUAGGAGUUGAAAUGAUGAAGAACCCAAAGUCUAUUGCUGUCUCCCAAUGCAACAAGAGUGAGAACGUGAGAAAGAAAUGUGAGUUUGGAAUGGAGGUUCCCACACCUAGCGGCUACACUUUCCAAGGAAGGUGGGUGUCGGCACAGUGCACCCAGCGCCUGCUAAACUCAAGUCAGAUAAACGACUGUCUGAAAAGGAAACUCAUUUACCUCCUGGGAGACUCCACGCUGCGCCAAUGGAUCGAGUACUUUCCCAAGGUUGCACAAACAUUGAAGCCUUUUGACCUUCAUGGGACUGGACUGUAUAAGAAACAUGUGCUUUUGGAUGCUGAAAGACACAUACUGGUUGAAUGGAAGAAACACAGCCACCCUUUCAUUACUGUGCAGCUCUACUCUGUGAUAGAUGAUGGCUAUAUCCCUCAGGAAAUUGACCGCUUACCAGGUGACAAAGAUACUGUCAUAGUCAUUACCUUGGGCCAGCACUUCAGACCCUUCCCAAUGGAACUCUUCAUUCAUAGAGCCAUCAGUAUCCAAAAGGCUAUCGAACGGCUCUUCCUCAGAAGCCCUGAUACUAAAGUCAUCAUUAAGACAGAAAAUGUUAGGGAGAUGAACCUGGAUACGGAAAAGUUCGGAGACUUCCACGGUCUUAUUCAGUAUCUAACUGCAAAGGAGAUUUUCAAAGGCCUGCAUGUGGGUACCAUUGAUGCCUGGGACAUGACCAUUGCGUGUGGUUCCAGUAAUCUCCAUCCACCUGAUGGCGUGAUUAGACAGCAGAUUGACGUGUUUUUAAACUACAUUUGCUAAAGAUACAUCACUAGGAGCCAAUGUCUCCAGCCAUGUA